rnacentral:lncRNA from 1 species
UUAUUCUUAGACCAGGCUUGUUUAAGUUUAAUUUUUAGCUUUAAGUAGUAAUUUAGUAUUUCUUUUUUGCAUUUUUGUUUAAGUAGUUACUGUUUAUGCAUUUACUGUUUGAGAUUAAAAUAUUAAAUUUUGGGUGCUUUGUGGUAAUGUACUUUCUUAAAUAGCUUUGGUAAAACUUUGAGAGGGGACUUGGAAGUAAGAAGAAAAGGAAGGGGAAAACCCCAAAAAAGGAGAACAAAAUUAAAGAGAAACCCAGUGAUUCCACUCCCAGGGAACAAAGAGAAAGCAUAGUGGAAAUGCUAAUGAAUUGUUCCUAUAUUAGUAAAUUGUGGUUAGAGAGGACUUAUAGCUCGUGCAUAUGAAAUUGCACUGUGGUUUAGUGCAUAAAAUCAUUAAUUAUAUUGGAAAUUGGCCAACCAUGCUGCUGUUACAUUUUGUGGUUGAAGUGCAUGCAGCUUGAUGACAUGCUGCAGCACAUAUGCUUGCUGUAACAGCAAGGUUUCUCUUUAGUUUCAUUCUAAUUAAUCUAGUUUAAAAUGGACAAGUUGAUGACAACUUGAUGCAUUAGGUGUUGAAUGACUAGUUUAGGCGGCUUGUUUAUGUGUACAAGCAAUGUUUUAAUAGUCCCAAUGCUGAUUAGUGGGGUUAGUUGACUAUUUGGUGAUGUAUUUGACUAUAAAUGUAUGUUUUUUCUAGUUGAAUGAAUGAGCUGAAUGAGCUAUCAGCCAUUAGCUCCCUUGCUGCACAUUUGUGAGCAAGUAAAAAUGCUUCUUGCACCUUGCUUCAUGUUCUGUGCUCUUGUUCUCUCUUUUGUUGCUGCCUCUUGCACCAACAAUUGGUAUCAGAGCCUAUGUCUUACGGGACCAUUGAUUUUGCUUCCCCUGCUUGUUGAAAUGAAAGAAGCUGUCAAAGCACAAGCAAGUCAUUAAGGACUGCUUGUAGAGAAGAUAAUAUCGGUUCAAACUUAUAAGAUCCCCAAACUAGCUUGAAUAAGCUGAAGGAGGAGUUUAAAGGAAAGGUGUGAGCUUUCCAAAUGUGCAAGCUUAGCAAGAUGUCAAAGCUGCAAGCUUAGCAAAGUGCGAGCCUGAUGAAGACACCUGUUGAAGACAAUAUGCAAAGAUGUGAGUCUGUCAAAGGUGUGAGCUCAGCAACAUGUGGAAGCUCAAUGCGUGUUGUAUAGUUGCAAGCCUCUUGAAGACAGUAAGCAAAGUGUGAGCCUGUCGAAUUGCAAGCCAAAAUGGCAGAAUGAAGGCAAGCAACUAUACUCACGAACUGUUUGUGCAAGAAGAAAAUGAAUUGGUCAGCUUGAAUCAAAGCAUCUAAGAGCUGCCAAGUUCAAAAAACUUGAUGAAUGACUGGUAUUUGCAGCAUGGAGUCCAAGGAGGAGUAUUGGAAAUUGGCCAACCAUGCUGCUGUUACAUUUUGUGGUUGAAGUGCAUGCAGCUUGAUGACAUGCUGCAGCACAUAUGCUUGCUGUAACAGCAAGGUUUCUCUUUAGUUUCAUUCUAAUUAAUCUAGUUUAAAAUGGACAAGUUGAUGACAACUUGAUGCAUUAGGUGUUGAAUGACUAGUUUAGGCGGCUUGUUUAUGUGUACAAGCAAUGUUUUAAUAGUCCCAAUGCUGAUUAGUGGGGUUAGUUGACUAUUUGGUGAUGUAUUUGACUAUAAAUGUAUGUUUUUUCUAGUUGAAUGAAUGAGCUGAAUGAGCUAUCAGCCAUUAGCUCCCUUGCUGCACAUUUGUGAGCAAGUAAAAAUGCUUCUUGCACCUUGCUUCAUGUUCUGUGCUCUUGUUCUCUCUUUUGUUGCUGCCUCUUGCACCAACAAAUUACCUAACAAUUGUCUUCUUUUUGUGAUACAAUAAAAAAGUGAAAACCACAAAAGAAAAGGAAUAGUUUGGAUUCUUGGAAGUUGAAAUUUUGAUAAAUUAUAUCGUGUAAGUGCAAGUCCAGAUCCAUAUACACC